rnacentral:rRNA from 1 species
UACAGAGGUCUCAAGCGUUGUUCGGAUUCAUUGGGCGUAAAGGGUGCGUAGGCGGCGCGCUAAGUCAGGUGUGAAAUUUCGGAGCUUAACUCCGAAACUGCAUUUGAUACUGGCGUGCUUGAGGACUGGAGAGGAGACUGGAAUUCAUGGUGUAGCAGUGAAAUGCGUAGAGAUCAUGAGGAAGACCAGUGGCGAAGGCGGGUCUCUGGACAGUUCCUGACACUGAGGCACGAGGCCAGGGGAGCAAACGGG